CCUACGGGAGGCAGCAGUGGGGGAUAUUGCACAAUGGGGGGAACCCUGAUGCAGCGACGCCGCGUGGGUGAAGGAGUAUUUCGGUAUGUAAAGCCCUAUCGGUAGGGAAGUAUUUAGACGGUACCUGACUAAGAAGCCCCGGCUAACUACGUGCCAGCAGCCGCGGUAAUACGGAGGGGGCAAGCGUUAUCCGGAUUCACUGGGUGUAAAGGGAGCGUAGACGGCCUGGCAAGCCUGGAGUGAAUGCGCGGGGCCCAACCCCGGGACUGCUCUGGAUACCGUCCGGCUGGAGUGCGGGCGGGGCAGGCGGAAUUCCUGGUGUAGCGGUGAAAUGCGUAGAGAUCAGGAAGAACACCGGCUGCGAAGGCGGCCUGCUGGACCGCGACUGACGUUGAGGCUCGAAAGCGUGGGGAGCGAACAGGAUUAGAUACCCGGGUAGUC
rnacentral:rRNA from 1 species